AACACUGUCAACGGUGUCCAGUACACCCUCUCUGUGGACUCCCCGCCGCCAACCUUGCUGCCGCCCGGUCCAUUCACGCUUCUCAAGGCCGCGGGGCUGCGGGCUGCGCUCGGGGGAAAAACGCAAACCCGCCCACGCUUUGCCUAAACUCCCAAGCUCCACAGAGGAAACGGCAGGUGCCCCACAAGUCCGAUAAACAGGACUCUUGUCCGGUAAACAGCUACUAGCUCCAGCGCAAGGCGGAGAUGAGGCGCAGAGACCCGCGGAUUCCGGCUCUGGGGACUGGCGGUGACUUCCUAGAGAGGGGGUGGAGCCUCUCUGAGGGAGCUGCAGCGCGGAGGACCACAACUCCCGGCAGGCUCUGCGAUGCCACUGAACUACAAUACCCAGCAUGCCCCAGGGAGCCAAGUUUAACCUACUCCUCCUGCGAGGUGUUCUGCACAGGAAUUUGCUCUCCUGUCAGUUUUGCUUGCCAGAAAUUCCCUGAGAGAACCAAGCAAUCUGUGCGAGUAAACGUUUAGGAGCAUCGUG